UAUUUGAGAUGAUGUCAUGUAGUAACAAAGAGUCUAAAUUAUGAAAUGUUCUCACGCAUACUUUACAGGUAUUAACCUUAUUAAGGGGGAAAACGGGCGGUCUCGCUAACAAGGAUUCCUACAAAAAAAUAAUAGGGUUAUGUACGAUUAUUUUUUUAUGAGAGCUUUGCUUUUUGUGACAAGGGGGAUAAGUUGAAAUAAUGCUGCUUAUGCAAUACUCGAACGGCCCCUUAAAGUUAGGAUCUAAAGUAUUAAUAAAAAUUACAAAGCAAUAGGAUGAUAACGAUAUGAUUAAGACAUGUUUGUUUUUUUUUGUUCUAUAAGAAUCUAAUUCAAAUUAAUAUUUUUUUUAGGUAUUACAAAUAUUUCACAUAUAUCUACAGAUACGCGGAUAAUUAAUAUUCAGUCUCAAACUGAGGAGUGUAACAGUAUAAAUAAUGACUCGAAGGAUGAACAAAUUAAGUCACUGAGAAAACAAUGCAGCCUUUUAAAAGCAAAGCUUAAGAAGCAACAGCAAAGGAUAUCGAGUUAUAAGGAAGAAAUUAAAAAAUCUAAAUAUCUUACAAAAGAAAAGUUUGAUGCCCUAACGGAGAGGGUACCGGAACUGGGCAGGCGACUCAUGUGGAUGCAAUUACACCAGCCAAAGAAAAAGAAUGGUCAUCGGUUUGAUACAAAGGAGAAGUUAAUGUGUCUCGCGAUUAAGAAGUAUAAACCCGAAUGCUUUAAGUUUUUGAAAAAGACAUUUCUUAUGCCCGGCAAUAAGACGUUGAAGAACUUUAUAACAAAACUGCAAUUGCCUGAUUCGAAGCCGGAGGAAGACGAACCUAAUAUCGAUGACAUUGAAAACGAAGAAGUCGUUUCCGACACUUUGGUUGAUAGAGCGGCUUCGGAAACUGAAAUUUCAUAUGAGAUGCACAAAAAUGUUCUCGGAGAAUUCAUACAAUUUAAUAAUAGCACCAAUUUGGCUGAUUUUACUGACUUUCAGCAUGGUUUAUGUUAGCGAAAGUGUCUAGUGAUUUUAUAUAUUUCUGUAUAAUUAUGGAGCGGACGCGGAAAUGUGACAUGGCAGGACUCCUAAGAGAUAUUUUCGUAUAAAAAAAGGUUUUGUUAUAUUAUUUGGUAGCUGGUCUUUUCCAGUAACACUUUAAUGUAACAGUGAAGUGAAAUUGGGCUUCUGUCGGUGUUCAUAAAAUUGUGACUUGUAUUGUGAUAUAACAAAUUAAUAAACAAUAGAGGAGUACAAUACUCUGUAAUUUUUAUAGCCUGUAGGAAGUUGGAGUUUAGCUAUAGUUGUCUCAAGAAAAACACUUUUUGAACGGAUUAAAGUUAUGUAUUAUUAUUAAAACUUAUAAUUAUUUACAUAAUUCUAAAUUUUAAAUUUUUUAAACGCUGAAGCACGCGAAACGUCGGAAAAGCUAUUUUAACAAAAGACAAUACUAUAGUUGCCUCGUUAUAUAUGUUUAAUAAAUGAAAUCGAAUUAAAACAAUUUUUGUUCUGAGAAUGAGAUUUAAGACUUAUGACGUAUUUCAAAAUCUGAUACACUUUUGACAGAUGUCUUAUCGACCAAGUAUUUGACAUACGCAAGUCAUACACAAGAAUUCAUAUCUCGAGACACUUCCUAUCUCGUCUUGAGCGCUGUCCGGCAUUCAAGUCACAACACACACACACACAACUUCACACCUCUUGAAACUGGUCCGUUUCACAACUCUUGAAAUUUGAUUUAAGUUUGACAGUUCCAGGAAGUAGGUUUUUUAUUUUAUAAAACAGGACCAAACGGACAGAAGGCUCACUAGUUGUCAAGUGACCAUAUACACUGAAUGCCAGAGGGCUUGCGAGUGCGUUGCCAUCCUUUUAAGAACUGCUACGCUCUUGACUAGAAGGAAUAACCGUAAAUGGUCCUACAACCCGAAUUGUUUCGGAAAUGUGGGCAUUACACAGUAGUGAUGCGCGGCAAAAACUGCCUUAAAAACGCUCAGUUGUUGACGGAUAUCGAGGGGAUACAGCUAGAUGUACCAUGUUCAUGAUAAUAUAUCAUGAAAGACCUGGUAAAAAUACUGGAAUUGUGAUUCUAAGAAUACCUAGUCGUAUGUAAGUUGUGUGAUAGUUAAAGUAGUUGUAUACUGUAUAAUAAUUGCUGAAAAGCACAGAAAAUCUAAUUAUGUACUAUUGAAAUAAAUUAGUCUUAAGUAAUUAAA